UUUUUAUCUCCACCCAAUUCAAAAUGUUUGCAUCUCAUAAUAGCUAGCAUUCUCUCUUAGAUCUGCAGUUGGGCUCAACACAUUCAAGUCUCAGCACAAUCUUCUUUGUAGUCUUAGCCAUGAGGAAAAGAACCAGCAGC